GGGCAUCUGGCGCAGUGGUAGCGCGUUCCGUUUGCAUCGGAAAGGUCUAGGGUUCGAUCCCCUAGUUGUCCA